UACAGAGGGGGCAAGCGUUAUUCGGAAUUAUUGGGCGUAAAGGGCGCGUAGGCGGCUUGGCAAGUGGAUGGUGAAAUCCCUCGGCUUAACCGAGGAACUGCCAUCCAGACUGCUUUGCUUGAGGCCGGGAGAGGUGAGUGGAAUUCCCAGUGUAGCGGUGAAAUGCGUAGAUAUUGGGAGGAACACCAGUGGCGAAGGCGAAUCCCUGGAAAAUACCUGACACUGAGGCACGAAAGCUAGGGGAGCAAACAGG
rnacentral:rRNA from 1 species